GUUAAUGUAGCUUAGUAAAAAGCAAGGCACUGAAAAUGCCUAGACGGGUUUACUUAACCCCAUAAACA
rnacentral:tRNA from 1 species